rnacentral:misc_RNA from 1 species
GAUGAAGAACGCAGCGAAAUGCGAUAAGUAAUGUGAAUUGCAGAAUUCAGUGAAUCAUCGAAUCUUUGAACGCACAUUGCGCCCAUUAGUAUUCUAGUGGGCAUGCCUGUUCGAGCGUCAUUAAGUACACUUAAGCCUAGCUUAGUGUUGGGAGACUGCUCCAGUGGUGCUACCCUGUAGCUACCCUGCAGCUCCUUAAAGACAGCGGCGGAGUCGUGUUAUCCUCUGAGCUUAGUAAAUCAUUCUAGCUUUCGAGAGUAUCACUUCACCUGCCGUUAAACCACCUAAUUUUUAUGGUUGACCUCGGAUCAGGUAGGAAUACCCGCUGAACUUAAGCAUAUCAAUAAGCGGAGGA